rnacentral:rRNA from 1 species
ACCCUACGGGGCGCAGCAGUGGGGAAUAUUGCACACUGGGGGGAACCCUGAUGCAGCGACGCGGCGGGGGUGAAGAAGUCAUUCGUGACGAAAAGCCCUAUCCGCAGGGAAGAAAAUGACGGUACCUGACUAAGAAGCCCCGGCUAACUACGUGCCAGCAGCCGCGGUAAUACGUAGGGGGCAAGCGUUAUCCGGAUUUACUGGGUGUAAAGGGAGCGGAGACGGCGGCGCAAGUCCGGAGGGAAAGCCCACGGCCCAACCGUGGGACUGCUCUG